UUCCCCCCAUCUUCCUCUUUACAUCUCCAUAAUUUUCCUCUCCACCUCCCUCCUUUCAACACCACCGCCCCUUUCCCCCCAAACCCAGAGCACCUGUGUUCUAUUGGAGUCUCCUCCCACCCCAGGUGUGACCACUUUGCCCUCCCUGCCCACUCCCCUUUAUAAUGAGCCUCAGGGAAGGCAGAAGCUCCAAGCUUGCCCAUUGUGGGCAGAGGGAUCCUCCUCGCAUCAUCACCACUGGCUUCUACUCAGAAAAAUCAUCUGAAGCAAAACAUAUCCUGCCAAAAAGGAAAGCUGCCUGCUGACAGUCAUCCCUGGGAAGAAAGGAGACAUCCUCUUGUUUUGAUGGAGGCAGAGAGCCUAAGCAUCUCUCUAGAAAUUGCCUUGACCGAACUGCCUUCUUGCAGAGCUCCAGUUCACUCUUUCUCGGUCGCUUUCAUUCAGUCCUUUUCUGCCUCUGCAAGGGACCUUUUUUCUCUGAAUGCCCAGGGGUGAAAAAUCACUCUCCAUUGUAACCAGAAAGUUAAGGGAGACAGUUCAAGGGUGGCUUCUCACCUCCAUUUCAGCUGUUUUAGCUUCAACCUUCAUACUGGUUUUCAUCAUAAUUUAAGGAAAAAAUGUACAUGCCUGACCUUCUACCCUCCUAGAAUGUGGGCAGUAACUCUUUAUAUCACACUAUAUAGCAUUUUAAUGUAAUUGAAAUAGAAACUCUGAUGUUAAUUGCACUGAGAUAUCUGGAAUAGUAUUCUUUUUCUUAGAAGCUGUGCCUAUUUGAUGUCUGCAAGAGAAGUGAUAGAGCCCCACUGUCACAAUGGUGAUGGUAGAUAGCUCUACCAGAAAGGCAGCUCUUCAGUAGUGUUAUUUUUGUGAGCGCUGUCGACUGUUGUCCCAUACGUUGAGCACACCUGGGAGAGGCUUGGUCUGUGCAAUGGGGUUUUUCAUGCUAGAUGAAAUGGCAGAUCUCUUAGGACUGAAUUAUUCAUGCUGAUGUCAUGACCUUUCAUUAAUAUACUCAGUUUCAAAAAUAAACGUUCAUUCUUUUAAAA